rnacentral:rRNA from 1 species
GGGCCCGCACAAGCAGUGGAGCAUGUGGUUUAAUUCGAUGCAACGCGAAGAAACCUUACCAGGCCUUGACAUCCUCGGAACUUUCUAGAGAUAGAAAGGUGCCUUCGGGAACGCAGUGACAGGUGCUGCAUGGCUGUCGUCAGCUCGUGUUGUGAAAUGUUGGGGUUAAGUCCCGUAACGAGCGCAACCCUUGUCCUUAUUUGCCAGCACGUAAUGGUGGGAACUCUAAGGAGACUGCCGGUGACAAACCGGAGGAAGGUGGGGACGACGUCAAGUCAUCAUGGCCUUUAUGCCUAGGGCUACACACGUGCUACAAUGGCAGGUACAGAGGGCAGCGAAGUCGCGAGGCUAAGCA